AUUGAACGCUGGCGGCAGGCUUAACACGUGCAAGUCGAGCGGGGGGAGGUAGCUUGCUACCUAACCUAGCGGCGGACGGGUGAGUAAUGCUUAGGAAUCUGCCUAUUAGUGGGGGACAACAUUUCGAAAGGGAUGCUAAUACCGCAUACGCCCUAAGGGGGAAAGCAGGGGAUCUUCGGACCUUGCGCUAAUAGAUGAGCCUAAGUCGGAUUAGCUAGUUGGUGGGGUAAAGGCCUACCAAGGCGACGAUCUGUAGCGGGUCUGAGAGGAUGAUCCGCCACACUGUGACUGAGACACGGCCCAGACUCCUACGGGAGGCAGCAGUGGGGAAUAUUGGACAAUGGGGGGAACCCUGAUCCAGCCAUGCCGCGUGUGUGAAGAAGGCCUUUUGGUUGUAAAGCACUUUAAGCGAGGAGGAGGCUACCGAGAUUAAUACUCUUGGAUAGUGGACGUUACUCGCAGAAUAAGCACCGGCUAACUCUGUGCCAGCCGCCGCGGUAACAC
rnacentral:rRNA from 1 species